ACACACAAGCACACAGUCGCCAUUCCGGCAUUCUGCACCCUCAACAGUAUGCCACCAACACAAUUUCGGCCAUCCCCUAGCCUUACACAUACAUGCAACCGCUUGUAUUGGCCUAUCAAAACACCAUUGAAAGCAACACUGGCCCUCUUUUGGCCACACACACAUGCAAUCGCCUUCAUUGGCCAUCAUGUUUGUAUGACACAUCCUCAAAACAGCCAUCCUAUAGCCACACGCACAUACAAUCGCCCCUAUAGGCUACCACUCACACACAAUCCUUCCAAAACAUACUUUACUGCAUGUAUAUACCUAUAUUGACCAACCAAUGGCCACACACACAAUCGCUCAUAUAGACUGCCAUACACACACAAAAAUGUCCAGAAUUCCCCUAUCAACCAUAAAAUGGCCAUACACACACACACACACACACACACACACAACCCUGCCAAAACGCAUAGCACAACCACUCCUCCCCAGUAUCGAUAAUCCCUCAGUCAUACUCUCACUCGCGUCUGCCUACAUCGGCUUGUUACUAUUAAUUAACCUCACUUACACACCUACCUCUUCCCGUAUCUCUCACACUCCCAUUUAGUUUGCUAAGCUCCCAACCUCUACUCCCAAAUUGAGGGAAAGAACUUAAAAACUUCAAUCAAGUGUUACCAUUGCCGGAUUUUAAAGUGCAAAAUCUAUUUACCUCUUGGUUCCAUCUGCCUCUAAUUCAACCGACUUUUCUUGCUUCUCGUUCUUCCUGGCAACUACAAAUCAUUCGUCAUCCCGCUGUUCUCUUGGACCCUUCUCUUUUCUUUUUUUUUUGUUCUAUUUCUCUUCUUCUCCCCUUUUUCUUUCCAACCUAGUUCAUUAUUCCCUUUUAUACCCAAACCGGUUCAAUCCCAAUCGUUGAAACUUCUAACUCUUCUCCACCAUCCGAUCUGUUCUUCCCCAAAUACUCAGUCUUUAUUCCUUAAAUCAGCCUCAGUCCAUUCUCCUCUUGUGCUACACUACACACACACAAAUUUUCCCCUUAAAAACACCAAAUCGAUAUGUUAAAAUAUUACAAUGAAUACAACAUAUGCUACAUAAGAUAUAUAUAUUACAUAUGGAGACACUUAGUAAAUAUUUAAAUUCACGUAACAAAUAUUAAUACUAACAUUCAUCAAUUUUAAAUAAAAGAUGGGAAUAGA
rnacentral:lncRNA from 1 species